rnacentral:rRNA from 1 species
AUUGAACGCUGGCGGCAGGCCUAACACAUGCAAGUCGAACGAGUGGCGGACGGGUGAGUAAUGUCUGGGAAACUGCCUGAUGGAGGGGGAUAACUACUGGAAACGGUAGCUAAUACCGCAUACCAUCAGAUGUGCCCAGGUGGGAUUAGCUGGUUGGUGGGGUAACGGCUCACCAAGGCGACGAUCCCUAGCUGGUCUGAGAGGCUGACCAGCCACACUGGAAUGGAGACACGGUCCAGACGCCUACGGGAGGCAGCAGUGGGGAAUAUUGCACAAUGGGCGCAAGCCGGAGGCAGAAAGGCCGCGUGUAUGAAGAAGGCCUUCGGGUUGUAAAGUACUUUAAGCGGGGAGGCGUUACCCGCAGAAGAAGCACCGGCUAACUCCGUGCCAGCAGCCGCGGUAAUUC